GCCACUGUGUUAUCGUGCCUUCUUAUGGAUGUGACCAAAAAGAAACGUAGAGUGAGACGUGAAUCCUCGAGUGUCAAAGAACUUCACUGGUGAAUGUGGAAGGUACUCAAGUGAAAUAUUUCCUCCCUUCGACCCUUGUCUGAAUACCAUUAAUUGUUAGUAUUGGAGCUGACCACAGGAGGGGCCGGAAGCACAUGUAAACAAGAAAAAGAAGCAACUGCAUUUGCUGAGUCAAGAUCCUGGUCAAGAUCGCAUUUGCUUACCUUGGAACACUUCUCAAGAUAAAUUCAGCUCAGUAUUGUAGGUGAAUGAGACUGUGUAUGUUAGCACAUCGUUGUCACUUGUGUUUUUCUACAGUGGCUAAGGGUCACGCGCGGGCGUGAACACAAACGAAAGUUCCAUAGAAAGAGGGGACUCUAUUCUUCUUCCUUCCGUUUCCAUUUCAGCAGCUUUGCUCUUUUUGGAAAAUGAAUAUUGAGUCUUUUAUUGUGAAUCUUACAAUGAAUCCUCAUUUAAACAAGAUGAACUAAAUAAUCAAAGAGAGGUUAAAGAAGUCUCCCAAGGCUGUAUGGCUGGGAAGUAUCAUCUAUGAGUCUUGAGCUCAGCUGAAGCCCUGCGGAUCAUGUUCUGUACUCCUUUCCAGGUUUCUAUGGCUUUGUUUGAAAAAAAUGGUUCCUCAUAAAAUUUCACAUGUAGGACAAGGCUUCACACUGAUUGCACUCUCAGGAUAUAACUACUUCCAACAGAGUCACUCUUCUUGCAGUGAAUCCCUCAUCUAAUUGAGGGAGACACAAGGGGCCAAAAUUUGUACUUAGUCAACAUAGAGAAGAGCUGAGAAAGAAGACACACCCCAUUCCGCUUCAGAGGUACGGGGCCGUGAAUCCCCGCUUUCCUUUUGUUGCUACCAAGGAGGAAUGGAGAACAGCCUUGUAAGGUGCUGUGCCGCUGAGCUAAAUCCCCAGCCCCUGUGGCCCUUUAAUGUAAUCAAAAGCUACAGUAAACAUGAGAUGUGUGAGAGAGCUGCCAGAGUGACAAAGCUUUUUUUACAAGUAGAAGAAGUACUUUCUAAAAUAACAACAAAAACACCCUGUGUUUGCCAAGGGCGACAGGGACGGUGCUGAGCUGAGUUUUCCCUGAGAAUAAUGCCGCUGCUGACAAACAAAUAAAGGGACUUCCGGAGGGUGAUUGAUUACUCCAAUGAAGCUGCAAUACAGGUUCCAAAAGGAUGUGGUGCUCAUCAUACUGGAAAAGCCAAAAGAUUAGCUGUACUCUCUCUGGGAGAAGCCAUCAAAGACAGCCCCAUGAAACAGAAGAAUCUCCGGAUCACCAAAAACUGUGGCUUCACAAAUACUGUUCAGUCCCGUCUGAAGUCCUGUAUAUGACCUGGAGUGGAAUGCACAGUAUGCCUUGUAGUCAAUACCAUCUUUUUGGAGAUUCAGUGGUUUUUUUUCUUUUUUUUUAGGAAAAAAAAUUGUAAUGUGUGAGUUUGAACGUAACAAAUAAUAGUAGAGACCUCAUUACAUAUUUUUAUUCGUGCCUGUCCUUGAGUUGUCCAUUUGUCUUUAUGUCUCCACGUGGAAUGUGUGUUUCAGCAGUUUUAUAUAAAGUAGAUCUAGACUUCUCUGCAUCCUGUAGAAUAAAGGGCGGUUUUUCAUAUUUCUACCUUUGAUGAAGGGAAAACCAUGUUCCCAGAGCAAUAGAUAACGCUCUGCUUUUCUGCCCUUCU